AUGAACGCUGGCGGCGUGCCUAAUACAUGCCAGUAGAACGCUGAAGGAGGAGCUUGCUCUUCUGGAUGAGUUGCGAACGGGUGAGUAACGCGUAGGUAACCUGCCUGGUAGCGGGGGAUAACUAUUGGAAACGAUAGCUAAUACCGCAUGACAACAGUUAUUGCAUGAUAACUGUUUAAAAGGGGCAACUGCUCCACUACCAGAUGGACCUGCGUUGUAUUAGCUAGUUGGUGAGGUAACGGCUCACCAAGGCGACGAUACAUAGCCGACCUGAGAGGGUGAUCGGCCACACUGGGACUGGGACACGGCCCAGACUCCUACGGGAGGCAGCAGUAGGGAAUCUUCGGCAAUGGACGGAAGUCUGACCGAGCAACGCCGCGUGGGUGAAGAAGGUUUUCGGAUCGUAAAGCUCUGUUGUAAGAGAAGAACGAGUGUGAGAGUGGAAAGUUCACACUGUGACGGUAUCUUACCAGAAAGGGACGGCUAACUACGUG
rnacentral:rRNA from 1 species